ensembl:lncRNA
UUUUUUUUUAAUUCGCCUUUCCAUCUCUCUCCACCACCACCAUCCCCAAAAAAGAAGCCGAAAAAACUCCAAAGUGGCCCGAAUGUGUGCUGCUGCUGGCUCUGAAGCCGUGUAGAAUUUCGUAAUGGAAUGUGAACUGCUCGUCCGGAUCUGGGCUCACGUUCUAUCUUCUAACCAGUAAGGAGCCAGGCAGGGCAAAUGUGCUGAGCAAGGAGAAAUACUUUUCUCCUCUUUUAUAACCCAUCACGGAUGCACCGCGGACGCGGGACGCGAGUUGCACGCGGCGCCUGUCAACCGGCCCGCCCGCCGACCGGUCCCCGCGCCCGGGGGGGCGUCCUCCGCUGCCCCCCACCCACACAUCGCCCUACCCCCGGACCCCCGGCCCGUCCGAAAAGCAAAGUGGCCCCGCCGAAGAGUGGACUGGACCAGCGCGCCCCGCACUCACGCGCCUCCCCGGGCCCGGCGGGCGGCGGGGAGCGAGCCCUCCCAUCCUCGACGCGACCCUCGGCCCGGUCCAGAGAACGCGCCGCUCCCAGGGAGGGGGCCGGCGACAGGAAGGACCUCCCCUGCUCCUUAGCAACCAUUAAGGUCGCAGUUUCCUAAGAGACCGCGAGCGAGGAGGUGGGGGGCGGGUGGGCGCGGGGGGCCGGGCCGAGGAGGAGGGGGGCGCGCGGGGGGCGCACUGGGUCCCCCAGCCCCUGGACGCCAGGUCCUCCCCCACCCCCGCAUCCCGGCCUUGCUGGACGCUACGGGGCUGGGAUGGGAGGAGGCAGGGAAACCCCACAACUCGGCAAAAAAAAAAAAAAAUUGGUCCAGCGGGCUGCGGACAAAAGUUUCCGAGCGCGCUCCACAGCUGGGCGGCGAAGCGGGCCCCGGCGGCCCCGCCUCGGAUGCUCCCGGCCUCCUUCCUGUGCUCGUGACGGCGCCGGGCGCCGAGGUCCCCCGCGAUGCAGGCUCCGCUCCACACCGAUGGCUCCCACGAAAACACGUACACCGCCAGCGGAAAGGCCAGAGAACAAUACGCGCGGACGCGCCCCCCCGCCCCUCGCGCGGUCACCCGGGGCGCGGUGGUUGGGUGGGGGGGGGCGCGAUGGUCGGCGUGACCAGCAGCCACGAGCCGGGAGCGGCGAAGGCGCAGGGCCCCCUCCGGGGCCGGCGCCGUCCGCCGGAGACGAUCAAAGUCCGCAGCGCAGGGCGCGGCGGAUGCUUCCCACCGCGCGGUACCCCCCCACCCCCAGCGAGCACCCACCCCCACCCCCGAGCGUGGAACCCCCCGAGCGUGGCACCCCCGGAUACCUGGCGGCGGCGGCGGCGGCGGCGGGCGGGCGGGCGCCGUCAUCUCCGCGCUCCUCUCGGCCCGAGAGGGACUCGAAAGUAUGUAGGAGAAGAGUUUCCCCUCCCACAUGGGGAGGAGGGAUGUCGGGGGAGAGAGAGAGAGAGAGGGCGGAAGAUGGAGAACUGCGCUGGGAAGAUGUCUCUGGCCGGCCGGGCGCGCACCCUCCGAGUCCCCCCGGCGGGGCUCGGUUAAAAAUAAAUGCGGCGGCGGGCGCGGCGGCGCGGGUCGGGCCGGAUUCCUGCGCUCGGACGGCUAAUAUGGAUGCGCAUCAGGUCCCCCGGCGGUGGGGCGCUGCGGCCGGCGGCUCGCGCUGGGAGCUGGUUGGCAGAGCCGGCGGCUCGGGAAGGGAAAGGAGCGGAGGAAGGGAGGAGGAGGAGGAGGAGGAGGAGGAGGAGGAGGAGGAGGAGGGAGGACGCGGGAGGAGGAGCGGCCCGGCGCGCAGCAGCCCGAGGGGCGAGGGCUGCCUGGCUCAUCCCACGCCGGCCCCCGAGCGCACGCAGCGCCGCGGCCGUGGGGUGCGGUGGGGGUGGCUCCUGGGUCCUCGCGGCCCCUGGGGAGACGCGGAGUUCGAAAAGUGCGGCGCGCCCUGCGCAGACCUCACCCUCCCACAUCCCCAAAAGUUCUUCGAAAGGUCGCCGCUCCCGGCUCAGCCCCGGAUACCUGGCGGCGGCGGCGGCGGCGGCGGCGGGCGGGCGCCGUCAUCUCCGCGCUCCUCUCGGCCCGAGAGGGACUCGAAAGUAUGUAGGAGAAGAGUUUCCUCCCACAUGGGGAGGAGGGAUGUCGGGGAGAGAGAGAGAGAGGGCGGAAGAUGGAGAACUGCGCUGGGAAGAUGUCUCUGGCCGGCCGGGCGCGCACCUCCGAGUCCCCGGCGGGGCUCGGUUAAAAUAAAUGCGGCGGCGGGCGCGGCGGCGCGGGUCGGGCCGGAUUCCUGCGCUCGGACGGCUAAUAUGGAUGCGCAUCAGGUCCCCCGGCGGUGGGGCGCUGCGGCCGGCGGCUCGCGCUGGGAGCUGGUUGGCAGAGCCGGCGGCUCGGGAAGGGGAAAGGGAGCGGAGGAAGGGGAGGAGGAGGAGGGAGGAGGGGGGAGGAGGGGGGAGGACGCGGGGAGGAGGAGCGGCCCGGCGCGCAGCAGCCCGAGGGGCGAGGGCUGCCCGGCUCAUCCCACGCCGGCCCCCCGAGCGCACGCAGCGCCGCGGCCGUGGGGUGCGGUGGGGGGGUGGCUCCUGGGUCCUCGCGGCCCCUGGGGGAGACGCGGAGUUCGAAAAGUGCGGCGCGCCCUGCGCAGACCUCACCCUCCCCACAUCCCCAAAAGUUCUUCGGAAAGGUCGCCGCUCCCGGCUCAGCCCCGGACAUCUCGCGGCCGCCCGAGGGACCGCGAGCCGGAACGCCCGGGGGCGCGAACUCACGGCCAGGCCAGGGCGCUGGGGGCUCCCGGGCGAGGACGCCGAGGGGACCGGUGGGCUGCGGGAAGGGAUCGAGCAGAGAUGCAAACUUGUUCCGGAAAAGGAAUCAAAAUGGCGUUUCUGGAUGUGCAAAGUUCAUCAACUCCGCAGUCGCUUCCCCCCCCUCCCCGCUCCGCUUCGCCCCGCGGGGAGGGAGGUGGGCGAGGAGCUGGCGACCCCGGCGCCCCGGCCGCCGUCGUGGCCCCCGCCCCGGCCCCCCGCCCCGCUUGCCCGCCCGCACGCUCGGAGCCCCGCUCUCCCCCUCUCACCCUGAUAAGUAGACACAUCACGUGUUGCUCCUGCGCGUCUCCUGGGGACGUGUUACUGAGCGGCGGCGGCGGCGGCGGCGGCGGCUGCGGCGCUCCGGCCGGGGGUCGGGUGGGGGGGGGGGUGCGGAUCCCGACCCCCGCCGCAGCCCCCCGCCCCGAUCUUAGUGGGGUGACUGCAGUCUCCAUCUCCGGGAUGGAGGGACGCUGCAGUCCCCCACCCCACCCCCACCGCAGCCCCAGGUUGGCCCCCACGCCCUCCGCGGGCGCCGCCGGGGCCCCAGGGGGGAAGAGGGUUUGGGCCGCCCCCCACCCCGGGGAAGGGUCUCGGCGGCGGAGGCCGCGCUCGGGCCGGGGGUUCGGGGAGACUGCGGGCCCCGCCGCAGCCCCUCGCCCCGAUUUUAGCGGGCUGACUGCAGUCUCCAUCCCCGGGAUGGCGGGACACUGCAGCCCCCCACCGCAGCCCCAGGUUGGCCCCCACGCCCUCCGCGGUGCCUCCGGGGGCCCAGCGAGAGGAGGGCUUGGGCCGCCCUCCCCUCCCCCAUCCCCGGGGGAAGGGUCUCGGGGGCGGCGGCCGAGCGCGAUGCGACCUGCGCGGCGUUCUUUGCGGGCGAGCCACCUUCAUGGACCACCGCGCGCCCCCCCUCCCCACCCCCGCCCCCCACCCUUUGGCUCAAGAGGAUCAAUCAUGGGCGAAAGUGACAGGAAAUAA